rnacentral:rRNA from 1 species
AAGGCUUCAGUACGACCCAGUCAGAACCAUAAGUCUCAAAGCCCCGACGAGUAGGGUGGCGUGCCGGUGCGCGUUGAAGGCCAAGACGUGAGUCAGGCUGGAGCCGCCGGUAGUGCAGAUCUUGGUGGUAGUAGCAAGUACUCUGGUGAACCAACCUGGAGCUGUGAGGUCUGGAUUAGGGUUCCAUGUCAACAGUGAUUGAACAUGGGUGAGUCGAUCCUAAGCCAGCUGUGAAUGCAGUGACAUCCCGACAACGGGGACUAAUACAUGACCCGGCACUUACACCCCCAUACCAAAGCUCUCGUGUAUCUCUCUCUCAGUAUGUCACGAAAAGGUAUCUGGUACGGAAAAUGCGCACACACGAUGAUCGCUACGUAGUGUGAGUGUGUGCGCUUGUCUCGUUACGCUCAUAAGCGUUGUUGCUCUCUGGCAAAAGUCUAAAAGUCGCGCAUACACACGGUGAUCACUACGCAGUGUGAGUGUGUGUGCGCGCGCGCGCACACAAACGAAAGCAUAAAAAGGAGUCGAGAGAGAGAGAGAAAGAGAGUGGGUGAGCGUGAGUUGACCCUAUCGUGAGUCCUACGCGUCUGGUUCUAUGUCCGGCGAAAGGGAAUGGGGACUUUGUUCCUUGACCGGUCCCGGCACCCUCGAUUGGCUUUGCCAAUCAAUGGUCCAUGCAAAUGGAACCAGGCCACAGCCGUCGGCAGUCGCCCGAGGAAGAGUUUUCUUUUCUGCUUAACGCACGAGGUCAUCCCUGGAAACAGUUCGGCUGGCGAAAGGGUGUCCCGUUGCGGCAGAGCGCCACGACUGUCGUGCGCGUCUCGGUGUUCCUGCUGAUCCGUGAAAACGUGGUCGAGGGGUGUGCUCUUGUAUCAACGAAACGUCCGACAAGUUCGGGACGGACCGUACCCUAUAUCCGCAUCUGGUCUCCAAGGUUCGUAGCCUCUGCAGAGUCAGACACAUGUAGGUAAGGGAAGUCGGCAAACUCGAUCCGUAACUUCGGGAAAAGGAUUGGCUCUGAGGGCCGAGCUGGGCCGGGCCUUGCCUGCAAAGCAGUACCUAUAGUGACCGGAGUUUCAGGAGUGCGAGGGGCUCUAGUAGCUGCUUGUGCGUGUGUGUGCGUUCGCGCGUGCAUGGGCGUGUGGGCACGAACGAGUCCACCGCUCCGCUCCAACCACGAACGGCUGUGACGGCAAGGGCUCUGGGCGGGAGCGAUCUAUCCGUUGGCCUCCAGCGCGUCUGGGUGGCGGCGGUGCUCCGUCUGACUCAUACGGCUCCAGCGGCUAGCGGCUAACUCA